CAUAUUUCGUUCUCUUUCGUUUUCUGUCUCAGAACUCUUUUCGUCAAAACACCUCCAUCACCUCCGCCAUGGUUUCUGAAAGACGUCCACCAUGAAAGAAGAACAACAGCUACCACAAAUCUAAGAUUUCAAUGCAGGGAAAAAUGAUAGCAAAGAUCUUUUUGACAUACUGGACUCAAAUAAAUUGAAUGCUCAUCUCAAAGAACACAUGCUGGCCUCACAGUUGAAGGAGGUUGCGGAAUUAUUUUGCAGGUUGCACCCUGCCCAAAUAUUAAGUUGAUGAGAAAAAAGUAAGAAGAAAUUUAAGCAAUGGAGACUCUUCAUGAGAGCCUUAGAAGUAUUGAGCAAGCUUAGGCGGUGGAUUCAUACCACAGUGGAUGGCAGUCAACAAUACUACCUCAACUUCGACAGUUGAUUGAUACCACAACAGAUGGCUGUCAACAAUCCAAUCUCUAUCGAGGCUGCAAAAUUAUUUAUGUAAAUGACUGCUUUAAAUUGAGAUGUUUAUCGGUCUGGAAUUAAUAGAUGCAAUGAAAUUGUGUUUCUUUUUUAAGAAAUGUUUAUAUGCAUCGCAUGUGCCAACAAUUACGUUUGACAAGUUUUUGAACGAAACAACAGGCAGCAAUAUGCAUCGCAUGUGCUAACAUUACGUUUGACAAGUUUUUGAACGAAACAACAGGCAGCAAUGCACAAACAGCAGGCGCAUCGCACGUGCGUGUUAUGCUAGUAAUAAAUAAUGUGAAUGGAAGAUGAUGCAAAUAUUACGGGUAGUGAAGAAGAGGUUUUUGAUUUUGGGAAUAUUAUAUAAUAUAAACAGAAAAAACAUUUGUUUGUUUGUUUGUUUUUCUUUUCUUUUCUUUUUGUGUUUCUUUCCAAGGUCUUCCGAGUCUGUAUCCUUCUCCGUGUCUGUCUGUAAGUGAAGGAUAGUUGUUGUUUCUUCUUCUAGUAUAUGGAAAAAUACAAACUAUUAUGGCGUGCAUCUACCAUGUGUCUUCAAUUUUCCUCUCAAUCUCAAACUGACUUCAGAACGAACGCAGCGUCCAGUAACUUUCUAAGUUUGCCCUAAUUUGGGGUUUUUGCCUUUUCAAAGAAGAGUAGAAGAAUUCAGCUCACUAGAUCUAUCUACAAUUGGCUAAGGUGAUUUUCCGAGAUUGAAAGCUUCAUCUUCGACUUCUGGAAAUGUUGGAGCUUUAAACCCUGGUUGUUCUUUAACUGGUAAUGAAGAAAAUCAAUGGUCUUCUCUAUAAAGCUGACUCCAUCAACAGCGCUGAAGUAUGAAGAACCUAAAGAUUCAGAUGGAAAUCCAGUUGCCUUUUUUUGCUUUAGGGAGACCACCAGUUGCAAGGUUAACUUUUUAAGCUGGGGUUACAAUCGCACUACAAAGCAUAUCAUGGUUAUAGCUUCAAACAACUUCAAGGGAAUCGACAUCUUUCUUCCUACUUAGUCGAGAAAGGCUACCAUUUGAUCUGGCUUUUAAAGGUCGAAGUCUGGAAGUAACAUCUAAGCUUUUUCCAUCUUUAGUUUUUCGAAGUCUGGAAGUAAAAUUCUGCCUAGAAAUGUUUAUGGAAUCUGUGAGUGUUGCCUAGAUCUCUACUUUUAAAGGUCGGACUUGAUACAGCUGAUGGCUCGCUCUCAGUCUUGAAGUCUUUUGCAACUGUACUACAUCUAAUCCAUUUGAGUAGGUUUGAAUGGCAUGUUACUGAGGUGCAAGUUAAUGAAAAUUGGUGCAUCUAAUAUGGUGAUAUUGCAAUUUGCGUGUAUUAAGUUUUGGUAACUUGGUGGUGCGGCAGAAAUCACUCAAAAGUCUCCAACACUGAAUCUUUCGGAUCAUCAGUCCACUCCAUUCCUGCUUGAAUGGACUGGGCUUCAAAAGUAACACGACAGAACCUUUCUCCAGCUGUUUGUUCGGUCGGUUGUAGUGGGCGAUUUUGUAAGGUUAAAAUAGUCAUUUUUAUGUCUGACAGUAUUUGUACUUAACAUUCAGAAACCUAAGAUAUAGAUUCUGAAGAACAACCCAUCUGUUUCUAAAAUUCUAAUCUAGGCUAGGGGAUCAAAACUCAGAAGCGAUCUAGAGGCUGCACAUAUGACACUAGACUAGUCAUCAUGAUUAACAAAGGAAAUUGAGACAGGUUUCAGUAUAGUAAUUUCGGAUUUUGAUCUAUUUUUCCAUUAUUUAUUUUCAGAUUUGAUAUUUAUUAUUUACUGUACAAAAUUAAUUCAUUGAUGUAA